UGAGUAGAAGUUACAGACUGGUAGCUACGACCCCAAAGUGUGUUUCAACUGGUGGGCAAUUUCUUUAGAAAAUUCCACCUGAUACUUACUUUAGAAUUGGGAGGUUGCAUUUUAAAAACAGUAACAACCAGAUUUCUAGCUUUUGAUGCAUCAGUAGAGCUGGAAACGUUUCACUCAUGUUCUUACAACAAGCAACCGCUUCAAACUGAGAAGUAGGUGCCCCCCCCUUAGAAGGACUGCAUCCCCUGGUUCACCCUCCACUCCCAGCUGCCAUGCUUGCGCUGCUGUUUUUCCUGUAAGAGAAGCAGGUUUUGGUUCCCGUGUCUCUAUCAAAAGUGCACAAAAGGAAGGCCCUCAAGGAACCCUCACAGAUUAAUGGCCUCCAAGAUGAAUGGCCUCACAGACCCUCAAAUGAAUGUGAGGACGCCAUCUUUGCACAUCUUCUUCAUUUGGCUGUAAGAUCUCGGACGGAGGGGUCGGAAUCGGAUUCGUUUUGGCACUGCCCUGGUAACCAGCACACUGCCUGGCACAAAGGAUCCAAGGAGAUCUGUGCCAUAACGAGGGGCCCCAGGCAGGCUAUAGAUACCGAGUUUUAGUCCCCGCCUGUGGCUGGAGGCAGCGCCCCCCGCUUCGCCAACCCCGCGUGAGGCAGAGGAAUGGAGACGCAGCCCAGAGAGAACAGAGGACAGAGGCCUUACUCAGUGCUGGCAGGCGGGAGCACUUCACAGAGCCCUCGACCUGGAGGCUCUGCUCGCGGGAUUUAGCCGAAGCUGCGUCUGGGACCCAGCUGUAUCCGUGUGACCUUGUGAGUGACACCCAACCUGAUUCUGAUUCCGAAUUCCAGGCUCUAGAAUAACAACAAUGGUUAGCAUGGACUGAGGCACUCUCUGAGCCAAGCCCUGCCAAGGGCUUCGACCCCGUGGCCUCCUUCCAGCCCUGCAAGCUGCGGAGAAAAUGCUGUAUCCCUGAUAAGGGUGAGGCCCCAGUGCCCAGCGACUUGCCUAAGGCCACGUAGUAAUGGGCUGA